AACAACCAAAGCCACAUACAUCCCUUGCUCGAUAGCCUCACCAUCGUGAGUAGCUUGCUUGCUUUUUGAUGGCAGCAAAUCAGCUACCAGAACCGUCAUGGGAGGAACUGCUCGGUAGAAAAAAAAAUUUGGACUCGCUUCUCGAUCCUCUUGACCUCUCACUUCGCAAACUCAUUCUCCGCUGCGGUGACUUCUGCCAGGCAACAUAUGACGCCAAGCUUGAGCCUGUCGAACCCCUUUUGCGAGUCGAUGAAAAUACCAACAACCAAAAAGAAAGCAAUCCCUCGUAAAACUGCUGGUCAAUCAUGGGAGGAUCUAACACUUGCGGAAUGGCCUGAAAAUGACUUUCGUCUAUUUUGUGGUGAUAUGGGUAAUGGGCUGUAUGUUUGUGUUUAAGGAACCAUUUAUGAAUGCUACGACUGCAGCUGGAAACGAUGAUAGCACAACGUAGACAGGGAAAGAAGAAAUAGGUUGAUCCUAUAUCAAGAACGGGGUAUCAGAAAGGGAAGCUAUGGAGGGUCUUUAGCCAACGUCGAUCUGUCGUAGCUAAGUCCGCAGCCCCUAGGAGCUUCUUAUAUCCAGAACCGGUCAAAGGGUCCAAGCGAUGAUCACCAAUGUUUGAUUUCGGUUGGUGAAGAUUCUUGCUACAGAGCACGCUGGUAAGGCUUAUUAAGCGUGAAAGAAGGAAGAAAAUAAGAAAAGUAUGAAUGUUAGAGAGAGCACGUGGGUUGUAGCAAAAUUUAAUAAAGGAUGAAGGGUAAAUCACAAUAGGAGUCAUCCAAGUUUGGUGAGAAUUCAACCUUGUCUUCUAUUUUCUAUAUAAUUAUGAAUGUUGUCUAAUGGUUUGAAUAAGAUUAUUUUGGUCACUUGCCUUGGUAGCUAAGUAUUAAAUUGACCCUUUGAGUUCUUAAUUUUGUCAGUUAUGUCCCUCUAUUACAGAAAGUAUUUUUUAUAAAAAAAAAAUUAUGGCUAGGAAAUUUAUUUUGGAAUUUGAGUUUGAUAUUUAAAGGUCAAGGUUCUUGAGAAAAAGAUUGGAAGCUAGAAAUUGAGUUGGUGAGCUUAAAUUCAAAAGUUAUUGUUUGGGUUUUGUUGACAUCUUGAGCCCGAUUUCGAAGUUCGUUUUGUCAAAUUCGUACCCAAUAAGCUGUUUUUUAAGGUUUUAACUUCGGAUUUAAUAUUGGUUUCUCAAUUAAUUUCAUUUUCUGACAUAACAUCAGUUGCUUUGUAUUUGAGGAAUCAUUGGAUGUGGGAUUCAAGUUCGAGGGCGAUCGAAUGGAGUUUAAAUGGUCGAUCGGUAUAGAAUUGAAAUCGAGGUUAAAAGAAUCGUACCAGUGCAUCUAUCGACAUCAGUAAGAGAGUUCUUCCGGCUUAGAUUUCAAAUUAUAGUACAUGUGAUUAGGAGACAUGUAAUAGUAUUUUGUUUUACA